rnacentral:rRNA from 1 species
GACGAACGCUGGCGGCGUGCUUAACACAUGCAAGUCGAACGCUGAAGCACCAGCUUGCUGGUGUGGAUGAGUGGCGAACGGGUGAGUAAUACGUGAGUAACCUGCCCUUGACUCUGGGAUAAGCCCGGGAAACUGGGUCUAAUACUGGAUGCUACAUGUCACCGCAUGGUGGUGUGUGGAAAGGGUUUACUGGUCUUGGAUGGGCUCACGGCCUAUCAGCUUGUUGGUGAGGUAAUGGCUCACCAAGGCGACGACGGGUAGCCGGCCUGAGAGGGUGACCGGCCACACUGGGACUGAGACACGGCCCAGACUCCUACGGGAGGCAGCAGUGGGGAAUAUUGCACAAUGGGCGAAAGCCUGAUGCAGCGACGCCGCGUGAGGGAUGACGGCCUUCGGGUUGUAAACCUCUUUCAGCAGGGAAGAAGCCACAAGUGACAGUACCUGCAGAAGAAGCGCCGGCUAACUACGUG